AAAUUCGAAAUUUAAAAUUUAAAACUUAAAUUUUAAAAGUUAAAAUUUAAAAUUUUAUUUAAUAUUUAAAUUUUAAAAUUUUAAAUUUUAA
rnacentral:miRNA from 1 species